AUGUCCUUAUGCCACGUUGCUUUCUUCAACUUCCAGGUGAACUACUUUUCCCUCCUUUCAGAUUCAAAAUCACUUGUUGCUGAUACGAAGUUUCCUGGUCGAAAGGCUUCAUGGUCGAACACCCCUUUUAACUUAGAAAAUUUAUCUAAGUAUUUUUUUCCUCUUCUUAGCAUAGCUUCGACACAACUAACAUCACGAGCUCUUCUGUCGAACGUCUUUAACUUUAGAUUUCUUCAACUUAUUCUUGACCAAUAG